rnacentral:rRNA from 1 species
UACGUAGGGUGCGAGCGUUAAUCGGAAUUACUGGGCGUAAAGCGUGCGCAGGCGGUUCGUUAAGUUCGUUGUGAAAGCCCCGGGCUCAACCUGGGAAUGGCAAUGGAAACUGGCGGGCUGGAGUGUGGCAGAGGGGGGUGGAAUUCCGCGUGUAGCAGUGAAAUGCGUAGAGAUGCGGAGGAACACCGAUGGCGAAGGCGGCAUCCUGGACCGACACUGACGCUGAGGAGCGAAAGCCAGGGGAGCAAACGGG